AACGAACGCUGGCGGCAGGCCUAACACAUGCAAGUCGAGCGCCCCGCAAGGGGAGCAGCGGACGGGUGAGUAACGCGUGGGAAUAUGCCCUUUGCUACGGAAUAGUCUCGGGAAACUGGGGGUAAUACCGUAUACGCCCUUUGGGGGAAAGAUUUAUCGGCGAAGGAUUAGCCCGCGUUGGAUUAGGUAGUUGGUGGGGUAAUGGCCUACCAAGCCGACGAUCCAUAGCUGGUUUGAGAGGAUGAUCAGCCACACUGGGACUGAGACACGGCCCAGACUCCUACGGGAGGCAGCAGUGGGGAAUCUUAGACAAUGGGGGCAACCCUGAUCUAGCCAUGCCGCGUGAGUGAUGAAGGCCUUAGGGUUGUAAAGCUCUUUCAGCUGGGAGGAUAAUGACGGUACCAGCAGAAGAAGCCCCGGCUAACUCCGUG
rnacentral:rRNA from 1 species